AAGAAGAAACUUGCAGACUUCAUCUAUUUUCUUUGGUCGUCGUCUUUGUAACCCAACACCCGAUACAAUUCAAUUCUUUUAUCUUCCAUUGUCUAUGAAUGAAUGACCAAUAUCUUCCUUCUCGUUUCAUUAUCCUCAUCAAAAUCACUCUCGUUUAUAUGUCACGUGAAGGAGAAAUCAAACAGUGACUUAUUCUUUUCGGCAUCAACAUUGCCGCAAAGCUUUUCUGGCCUCCAUAGUGGUGCACUGAAACAAUGACAAGCAAUUUUUCAUUCUCCAUGUCGAGAGCUUUGUCUUACAUCUCUUCGUGUUUAAGAUUCGUCAACAUUCACGAAAAUCCGAUGGCGGCAGUGUUACGUGUUGUUGUUAUCCGUAAGCACCGUUUCGAGUCAUCCAUGUCGUUGCGAUUUGGUUAUUCUCUAGACCCGCUUUCAAACAAUUUAUUUCUAGAUUGCUCCGACGCUGCUGAAAUUAAUGUCUUAUCGUACGGGAUCGCCAAAUGAGGUAUGGGGUGAGAGAGAGUUCGAAUUCAUGAGUGUAAAUUAAGUGAGAUGAAUGGGAAAACCAUAUUUCCCAUAAUUCAUUCGGGGCUCGCUAUGUACGGCUGAAGCCCUUUGAGUAAUAAUUGACUAAUGAGAAAACUUGAAUUUGGUGAGGUUAAAAUACGAGUUAGAAACUUUUAUAGGGUGUUUGAUUUAAAUUUUAAAGAUUGUGUGGUAGUUGAAUUAUUGUAGAAUUGUGUAUUUGACGUAUUAUGUGCUUUGUUUAUAUCUACCAUGAUAUUGUUAUAUGAUAUAAAAUAUGAUGAAUUGUUAUUAAUUCAAUAUCAA